rnacentral:ncRNA from 1 species
CUGGUUGAUCCUGCCAGUAGUCAUAUGCUUGUCUCAAAAAGAUUAAGCCAUGCAUGUGUAAGUAUGAACUAAUUCAGACUGUGAAACUGCGAAUGGCUCAUUGGCACACUCGUUCCGCACAAGUCCGCAACUUAGGCACACUCGUUCCGCAUAAGUCCGCAACUUAGGCACACUCGUUCCGCAUAUGCCCGCAACGUAGGCACCAUCGUUCCGCAUAAGUCCGCAACGUAGGCACACUCGUUCCGCACAAGUCCGCAAAGCCCGCAACGUAGGCACCAUCGUUCCGCAUGAGUCCGCAACUUAGGCACCACCCGUUCCGCAACAGUCCGCACUUAGGCACCAUCGUUCCGCAUAAGUCCGCAACUUGGGCACACUCGUUCCGCAUGAGUCCGCAAUGUAGGCACCAUCCGUUCCGCAACAGUCCGCACUUAGGCACCAUCGUUCCGCAUGAGUCCGCAACUUAGGCACUAACGUUGCGCAUAAGUCAGCAACUUAUGCA